UACGUAGGGGGCAAGCGUUAUCCGGAAUUAUUGGGCGUAAAGCGCGCGCAGGCGGUCGGUUAAGUCAGGUGUGAAAGGCUGCGGCUCAACCGCAGAGCGGCAUCUGAAACUGGUCGACUUGAGUGCAGGAGAGGGGAGCGGAAUUCCCGGUGUAGCGGUGGAAUGCGUAGAGAUCGGGAGGAACACCAGUGGCGAAGGCGGCUCUCUGGCCUGUAACUGACGCUGAGGCGCGAAAGCGUGGGGAGCAAACAGGAUUAGAAACCCCCGUAGUCC
rnacentral:rRNA from 1 species